AGCGAACGCUGGCGGCAGGCCUAACACAUGCAAGUCGAACGAAGUCUUCGGACUUAGUGGCGGACGGGUGAGUAACACGUGGGAACGUACCUUUUGGUUCGGAACAACUCAGGGAAACUUGAGCUAAUACCGGAUGAGCCCUUGGGGGGAAAGAUUUAUUGCCGAAAGAGCGGCCCGCGUUAGAUUAGCUAGUUGGUGAGGUAAAGGCUCACCAAGGCUACGAUCUAUAGCUGGUCUGAGAGGAUGAUCAGCCACACUGGGACUGAGACACGGCCCAGACUCCGACGGGAGGCAGCAGUGGGGAAUCUUGCGCAAUGGGCGAAAGCCUGACGCAGCCAUGCCGCGUGAAUGAUGAAGGUCUUAGGAUUGUAAAAUUCUUUUACCAGGGACGAUAAUGACGGUACCUGGAGAAAAAGCCCCGGCUAACUUCGUGCCAGCCGCCGCCGUAA
rnacentral:rRNA from 1 species